UACGUAGGGUGCAAGCGUUAAUCGGAAUUACUGGGCGUAAAGCGUGCGCAGGCGGUGAUGUAAGACAGAUGUGAAAUCCCCGGGCUCAACCUGGGAACUGCAUUUGUGACUGCAUCGCUGGAGUGCGGCAGAGGGGGAUGGAAUUCCGCGUGUAGCAGUGAAAUGCGUAGAUAUGCGGAGGAACACCGAUGGCGAAGGCGAGUCCCUGGACAACUCCUGACGCUGAGGCACGAAAGCUAGGGGAGCAAACAGG
rnacentral:rRNA from 1 species